rnacentral:lncRNA from 1 species
UAUAUCUACCUCUUGGUUGUUAGCUGUUUUGCUCUGAUAUUUAUGCAUUGAGAUCCAUUUUCUUUUGUUCUGCAUAACCGUUUGGAGGACAUUAGGGUUCUGUGAGGCCUGCUCGGUGCAUACUUUUAUUGAUCUGUGUCAAGGGUGUGUAAUAUCUGAUCUAGACAUGGCUGGUUGCUGUCUUGAUCUUCCAUUUCAGUGGUUUAGGAUGGUCC